rnacentral:rRNA from 1 species
UACGAAGGGGGCUAGCGUUGCUCGGAAUUACUGGGCGUAAAGGGCGCGUAGGCGGCACUGUUAGUCAGGCGUGAAAGUCCUGGGCUCAACCUGGGAACUGCGCUUGAUACGGCAGAGCUAGAGGAUGGAAGAGGGUCGCGGAAUUCCCAGUGUAGAGGUGAAAUUCGUAGAUAUUGGGAAGAACACCGGUGGCGAAGGCGGCGACCUGGUCCAUUACUGACGCUGAGGCGCGACAGCGUGGG